CUACGAGACACUCUGACGACGCUCAAGACACGCUCGAGACACGCUCGAGACAUAGAGACCAACCACAUCUACGAGGCAGAAUGGGCUGCUUGGCCAGCAGACCUGCAAAUGUCGAUCUACAGGAGGUGAAGAUUGCGUUCAUUGAAAAUCCGGAUAUUUUGUCGAAAGCUAAAAAUAUCCAGGAACAGAUUCGGGAGAAAACAAAGAGUGUUGACAUCCAUACAUGGCGCGAGAAUCAAGACUUCAAUGAAUUUCAUGAAUCAACAAUUAAACAUGCUGAGCCUCAUGUCUUUCUGUACAUAUUUCCGUACAUGACCACGGUGGUAGACGGUGAUAUAGAAAAGGUGAAAUACAUUAAGCAGGUCCUUGGUAAAAAUUCAGAGAAUUAUAUUUUACCUGUGGUCAUGUGUGAAGAUGAAGUUUUAAUAGAUGAAGAACAAAAACAAAACUUAAUGAUACAAGUUCAGGAUAAAUUAAAAUUAGAGAGAUUCUGUGGAAUUGGGAAAAAUGAAACGCCUGAAGAUCAAGUCAACAAACUUAUGGAGAAGAUCAACGAGGUGGUUGAUGGAAACCAUAACGAGAGUUACAAAUGGAAACCAGUUACAGAUCCAAAGGACCAACCAAAAGCAUCACGAUUUAUGAAGAAUUGUAUUACACCAUUAUUAUAGAAAUGAUUCAAUACAACAAAUACAUUACAGGAGAGGAGGAGGGACACAGGCUUACAGCUUAAAAUGAGCUUCAUAUUUUCCAGCUGCAACAUUAUAUCCUGAAUGAUUUCAAUGCAAAUAUUGUGCUUGCAUGUUAUUUUUUAUGGUGUUUCUUUCUGUUUUUGGGUGGUGAGCAGUGAAAAUGAAACAUGGCUGGAUUCAGAGCAGGAAUGUUGUUAUCAGGCAGGUGUCAUCAUUGUGCUUUUAUUUUGUUAAAUUGUAACUGCAGUGCUGUAAUAUGACUUUAGUUUAUGACAAAGAUCUGAAUUCUUCCUGUACUUAGAGACUUUACUUCCUGUGUUUGUGGAGAAUCUGCAGCACAGACUGGAUUUUUCUACCAACUCUGUUAAAAGUUGAUUUGAUUUGUUUUCUGAAACAUGUUAAAGUCUGAUGGACUUUGUGCUUCCACUUGUUUAAGAAACAGAUUGUUGAAUAAUAUCUAAUAUCUGUCACUCUGACUCUUUCUCCUGCUGUGCUUUUUCUUUACUGUCUAUGGUUUAAUGCAGUUAAUGUGUUAAUGUACCACACCAACGUAUCAGUGUGAACCAAUGCAGCAUCAAUCUGAUUUGUUACAAUAGAAUCCCAUCAGUAAAUAAAAGAUGCUUCAAACA